GCGUUGCACUGCGAUUUGCAUCAUGAAAUCGCUUGGAUUUCUGGUUUUUAUCUUCGUUUUUGUUUCGAUUGAUGCCAGAAGAGCGAAUAAUUGUUUGUGGAGGUGUAAGUCAAUUGAUAAUGCACUCUGUGCCAUAGAUCACAAUUUACAGAUUUAUUUGUUUAAUAAUAUAUGCGAAAUGGAGAAAUUCGGCUGUCAAAAAGAUUUGCAUAUGGAUGAAGUAAAUAUGAAGAUAUGUAUUCGGCACUUUGAUCUUGAGGAUGGAAAAUAAAGUAUUUUAACCUAAAAAUUAUAUUUUUGACAUUUUUAUGUUUUUUUCUGCAUUUUAACCUCAAAUUUAUGCUAUUUAUGUAUUAUUUGCUUUAAAAUAUAUACAAAUGUGCAUAUCUAGACUUUUAUAAUAUAAAAAUAUAAUUUUGUAUUGUUUAAUCAGUUGAUAAGCAAUAAUAGUGAUGUUUAAUAUAAAAUUAUAAAAUUUC